GUCCAGGUGGCACAGUGGUUAAUGCAACUGCCUGAUAAGCAGGAGAUCCUGGGUUCGAAUCUCAGUCUGGCACA